ensembl:lncRNA
GUGUAAUCUUCGGUGAUGGGCUGCUGAUCUUCUACACUGUUUGUGCCAGCCCAGCCUCGGAGAGCCCCACCUGAGCAGCUUUUCCUUCUGGUGCUCCCGGAGGCCUUGCCUCAACCUACCCCAAAAGUCACUGCAGAGAGUGGCUGAGGCCAGCAUAGAGCCAGAGCCCUGCUCCAGGGCCAGCAGUGACAGCACUGAGGGAGCAGGCUUGGGUGCCCAACAGCAGAAAGUGGGCAGUCUCUGUCCUGAACUUUGGAAGGAUCUGGCCCAUGGACCCAGAGGUGGGUGCUUAACAAGUGUAACAGCUCAGGGGUGGGACUGUGUACAUGGAGUGUGGCAAAUGUAGUGCAUCUAUUUAAGAGGGGCUUGCUAAGUGUACAGGGUCCAAUACUCAGAACUUGGUGACAUUUUUCUGAGAGAAAGACCAUUUACAGAGACAGGAAGGCAAAUGGGAUAAAAUGCAACAUGAUUUACCAAGCAAGAUUAACCUGAAAUCCCUAACUGAUCUCGCAGAUAAAAGAAAUCCAGCGGUUCUCCUCCUCCAGGAUUUCAGUGAUCCCCUGCCUUCGUGCUCUGAAUAUCUAACAGUAUAAGCCAUGCUGGACAAGAUGUGGAUUAACUGAAUACCUCAGAAAUGGGCGGGGAACUGGCUAAUAGGGCCAAGUAAUGGUAAAAGGAGAAGUUUUUCAAGGACUGUCUGUCUUCCUUCAGCAGAGGAACAUGGGUGUUUGCUGAUGGUACCUGGUGAGGAUGGCACAAACUCACAAGGAGCUUCAGAACAUUUUAGCGAAAGGACCUGGAAGACUCCGUGCACCAAGGCGCUGGCCUUCCUGGCAGCAGACGGAGCUACAUUUUGGAUGCCACUAGCUGCACAAAGCUGGCUGCCAAGCACCCGGCACUGCUGGUGCUCAGCUCACCCCCAGUGUGCCCAGGGAAGGGACACACAGGAGAUGGAUCUGGCCAGCCCCUUGCCUUCUACCUACAUGGAAACCAGUGGCUGUCAGUGGGUCAUGAAACCUUCCUCGUUCCAGCAGCAGGGAAAGGAAAACUCCCAGCAGUUUGAGGGAUUCAUGCAGAGACACAAAGCAAACCCACAUCGGAGACCUGGGAAAUUCCUGCUCUCCUCCAGCAUGUCAGUUUGCCUUGAAAGAUUUCCUUUCACAGCACUUCUUAUUUGCCACCUGCCAUAAGGACAGGGUCUGCAACCAGCCCAGCCUCCUCCCUAUGUUUCAGCUCUGAGCAACGCUAGAGGACACAGCGAGGAUGUCUGCGCUUUCCAGCCAAAGCAAUGAUCACCCAUGACCGAGAAACACAUGUCCAAAAGGAAGGGGAAAGCCCAGGGGGACACACCUGGAGGCAACCCAGAACCAAGAGGAGCAGCUGAAGGCAGGCCAGUGACUCUUGCUGCUCGGCCCCUUCUCUCUGCAGCACUGCUGGUCAGGUUUAUCUCAAGGCCAUUCCAGUACCUACCAUCUCCCCAUGAACAGACAUGGUUGCCAGCUCCUAGAUGCCUAAACAGCACAUUUUAGCUGCUCAAGGAGAGGAAUAACUUGACGAAACUCCAAAGAAGUGGUAAGUGGCAGCAAAAAGUGCAGGUCCAAGGGCAACUUGCCCAGGAACCCAGCUGGAGAAGGUGCCAGCGGGUUGGUGCCCAUUCUGCAGCGAGACUCCUUACCCUGGGGGCCAGGAGGAGGUCACCAGCAGAUCAAACACAGCAUCCAAUUACUUUCCCACUUUAAGUCAAAUUUUUAUUUUCUUGGAGUCACUUUCAAAAAAACGGGGUUGGGAGGAAAAAGGGUGGAGUGCAGGGGGGAGCAGAAGAGGGUGCUUGAGGGAACAGUGGAGAAAAUGUUCACCCUGAAAUGCCAAGUCAAAAGUACCCCCUGCCCCACCAAAUCUUUUUCUUUUUUUUUUUUUUUUUCCCCCUUUUGUCAAGAAGGAAAAUUGUAUUUUCCAGCCAGCUCUAUUCAUGAGUGAUUGUGCAGAGCUCUGCUAAUGGGCUAUGCCAAGCUGUGGUCACCCUACAGAGCUAUUGGCAGGAGAGGUGGCAAGUUGGAGAGGACUACAAGGGAACUCUGCAUGAUAUUUUUUGAUGAGCUGAUUAUUCAGAAAUUUCACAAGAGCUGAAAUACAUCACUCUGUUCUGAAACUCACAGCCCUGCCAACACACAGGACAGCUUACAUGAGCAGCAGCGUUUUCUCCUUCACAGUGCUGCUGGCCUGUGCAUUAGCAACCAGAUGCAGGAAUCGGACAAGACUUUUCAGCAGCCAUCAACAGCAGUGACAGCGAGAGAUGGAAAGUGGGUAGAAGGACACAGAAAGCUGAGAUAGAAAUGAUUUAGGUACUUUCACAGCUGUCACUAUGUGAGUAUUUGGGCUUGAAAGUUUUUCAUUAGCUCCAUGGGUACUAGGACAUAAUAAUUUUUAUUGCUUUACAGCUAGGAUGUGAGAUCACCCCCAGAUCCCACAUGUGUUCAAGUAUUUUUAUUUCAGGGGUUGCUCAGUCACAUUUCAGGGCGCUAUCACAAGCCAGGAGCUGACCUUGACUCCCUGUCGCAGCCAGGAGCCUCUAUCUUAGGCAUUGUCCUGAGUCUGCAGCCAAGUCAGGCUCCCACAGAGAAUAAACAAUCAUUUUCCCCUCUCUGCACCACUAAUUAUAAACAAAACACGGUGUUAGUUGAGCACAGGAUCAAAUGAGAGUGUGAUACCUGGGGGGAUUGGGCGCAUGUGUGCUGGAGUGGGUUAGAAGCAGCACGGAGCUGAUUUUGGAAAUACUGCACAAAGACUCCAAGGAGCUGAUGGGGCAUGUCCCCAGACCAUUGAUCUGUCAACACACAAGCCCCUUUGAGCUACCUGGAGUGGCACCGACUGUCCCCUGGAGGAGCAGGGGCUGAAGCAAGACUGGUGCUGGAUGGCAAUUAAAAAACACCCUCCUGCUGUACUCACCACCUUUGUUGUAAGCACUGUAGAAUCCCUGCCUGCCUUAGUGCAAGCAGAUUUGCUCUAGGUCAACUGGACUGUCUAAAGCUCUCUUUGUGCACCAAGAACCAUAAUUGUGGUCCAGGCGAGCAUACUAGAAAGCCAAGUAGAGUCAUCCAGAACUGGGUGCCUGCGACCUUGCACAGCAUUGGCCCACGCUGCUGCCACACCAAAGCCUUCAGGGACCAUUCCUAAUGGUUUUGCCCAGCCCUAAAAAUGUAUGUGCAUGAACCGAUGGCUGCCAGGUAGCCUUCUCUCGGGACCGUGUACCUGGGCUGCCUGGCAGGGCAGGGACCGGGUGCACUGGCUGAUUGUGUGCUCCCCAUAACCCGGCCAUUCUCCUGCCCGCAGGACUAACCAUGCCCAGGACAGCUCUUCUACAAUUUCUGUUUCAAGGCAGGCAGGGGAACAGGGCAUGUGGAGCCACAUCCUGCUCCCAGCCUGGUCCUACAAAAGCAAAUGAAGAGCACUGUAGCGGAACCACAGCUGGUUUACUAAUGAAAAUAGAGGCACACAGCCACAGGCACUGCACCCCCUUGGAGGAAACGCUCACUUCAGCAAAACAAACUUUUGGCAAUCAAAAAAGUCUGGGAGUCUUGCUUCUGUAUAAGAACAGGGAAGAAGAAUCCAAGCUGUGUAACAGCAACCACAGUUAGCUCUGUCCUGUUACGAAGCCACCCCAUUGGGACCACUCCACUUGCACCACAUCCAUCUGAGCCCCUGCAUGUGUGAUUUUUCUCCUGUUUUCUGCUUUUGGUGGAGGAGCUCAGCACUCUGAAGCAUCCCCCGGCCCAAAGGCAAGCCCUGGGCCUGACCAUAGCAAAGGCAAUUAUUUAAGGUUUUAAAGGACAAAGUUGGUUACAAAGACCAUCAAUGCCUUCAGCACAGCAUAUCCUCACAUUUCCAGCAACUGCAUCUUUGUAUGCAGCACCCUGCCUGUAGAAAAUUAAGUCUAUAGGAAGCGUAUUAAUGAUCCAGACACCAUCCUCGAGACUCAAGUCUUAUAAAAAGGGAGGGUUUACGCCACAUACUGCUGCAGGAUGUCAUGUACUUCAUGAUCUGCCUUUUCUAAUCUCUCCUUAUCUCUCACCCCAAUCCUUUCUCAUGUCCCUCAUCUAUUGCAAAUUCCCUUUUUAAGCUGGAGUGAAGCACAUAAAUAUUUUCAUGCUGCAUAAAUAGGUUGUUUUGUGCAUAAUGCCACAGGCGGCUUUUUUUUAAAAAAAAACAGGUCCUUUAGUGCUGUGAUAACGGCCUCCUCAUUUACACAAAUGAAAUCUUCCAUACAGCUCAGCACUCAUCUGCUCAGCAGCCCCCAUGCAAAAUGGUUGGCGCAGCGCCCACUCAUCACAAGCCACAGAAUUAAUACAGAAUAUUCCAUACUUAGUAGGAAGCCACUGAGCAUCAGGUUUGGAAAUACCUUGCACACGUAACGGAUGCUCAGCUUCUCCUUGUAGCACUUUGCUGGCAGUGCCACUGUUGUCUUCUGCCUAUGUGAAAUCACAGCUACUUUAAAUAUUACAGUGCAAAAGCAGAACUGUUUGUGUCGGGCCCGUUUGCCAGCAUCUUUGCCCACCCUGCCUGCUCACCUUUCCUCCUCUGUCACUUCUUGCCCCCUGACCUUCAUCUCCUGUUUAUUCAGUCCUUGUUCAGGGUCCAGAAAGUGCAGACACCAUCAAAAUGGACUUCUCGUUUACUCUGCAUGGAAAAAAAGAUAGUAUUACAAUCUCUACAGUUUUUAAAAGGGCUAAUGAAAAAUAUCAGUGGCCACAGUGGGUCAUGGUAAAUCUUUGAAACAAACUGGCUUUUCAGGAGCAGUAUUUUAACAGCACCACCAUAAAAUCUGGAAUCAAACAUCAGUGAUUUUGUUUUAGUGUUUCUAUUUAUAUUUGACCCGCACAAAGACUUCAGACCAAAGGACUGAAUUCCUCUGCAGUAUAUAGCAG